rnacentral:rRNA from 1 species
UACGUAGGGUGCGAGCGUUAAUCGGAAUUACUGGGCGUAAAGCGUGCGCAGGCGGUUUUGUAAGACAGAUGUGAAAUCCCCGGGCUUAACCUGGGAACUGCAUUUGUGACUGCAAGACUAGAGUGCGGCAGAGGGGGGUAGAAUUCCACGUGUAGCAGUGAAAUGCGUAGAUAUGUGGAGGAAUACCGAUGGCGAAGGCAGUUCCCUGGGUCGACACUGACGCUCAUGCACGAAAGCGUGGGGAGCAAACAGG